rnacentral:tRNA from 1 species
UGGGGGAUCGUCUAACGGUAGGACAACGGACUCUGGAUCCGUCUGUGAGGGUUCGAAUCCUUCUCCCCCAG